UGGUUUGACGAAGGUUAAGCUGUCUCUUUCUCAUUUUUUAGAAUUUAAUCUUCCAAGUGAAAAAGCUUAAAUUUUUUAAAGGGACGAGAAGACCCUAUUGAGCUUAUAAUUUUAGGGUUGCUUAACAUUAGUUAUUUGGGGAGCAAUUUAUAAGUUUUAAUUGGGGUGAUUAAGGAAUAAAUAAGAAAAUAAUAUAGCAACUUCCUUAGAUUGAAAUGUUGUUAAAUAAAGCAACCAAUGUUAUUAUUGCUUUUAUAAUAGUUACCAUAGGGAUAACAGCGUAAUCUGUUUAGAGAGUUCUUAUUGAAAAAUGGGAUUGCGACCUCGAUGUUGGAUUAAAGUAACCUCAGGGUGCAGAAGCUU
rnacentral:rRNA from 1 species